rnacentral:rRNA from 1 species
CUCAUUAACACGUGGUUAACAUACCCUCAGGUGGGGGAUAACCUUGGGAAACUGAGGAUAAUACCCCAUAGAAAAAGCAGUCUGGAACGAUUCUUUUUCGAAAGCAUAUGCGCCUGAGGAUUGGACUGCGCUCGAUUAGGUAGUUGGUGGGGUAAUGGCCCACCAAGUCUACGAUCGGUACGGGCCUUGAGAGAGGAAGCCCGGAGAUGGGGACUGAGACACGGCCCCAGGCCCUACGGGGCGCAGCAGGCGCGAAACCUCCGCAAUGCACGAAAGUGCGACGGGGGGAUCCCAAGUGCUCAUGCACAGCAUGGGCUUUUAUCAAGUGUAAACAGCUUGAGGAAUAAGGGCUGGGCAAGUUCGGUGCCAGCAGCCGCGGUAACACCGGCGGCCCGAGUGGUGACCACUUUUAUUGGGCCUAAAGCGUCCGUAGCCGGUCCAGUAAGUCCCUGUUUAAAUCCUACGGCUUAACCGUAGGGCUGGCAGGGAUACUGCUGGACUUGGGACCGGGAGAGGGCGAGGGUACUUCAGGGGUAGCGGUGAAAUGUGUUGAUCCCUGGAGGACCACCUAUGGCGAAGGCACUCGCCUGGAACGGGUCC